rnacentral:rRNA from 1 species
GACGAAGGUGGCGAGCGUUGUUCGGAAUUACUGGGCAUAAAGCGUGCGUAGGCGGCUAUGUAAGUCAGGUGUGAAAGCCCUCGGCUCAACCGAGGAACUGCGCCUGAUACUGCAUGGCUUGAGGUCCGGAGGGGAGAGUGGAAUUCCCGGUGGAGCGGUGAAAUGCGUAGAGAUCGGGAAGAACGCCGGCGGCGAAAGCGACUCUCUGGUCGGAAUCUGACGCUGAGGCACGAAAGCUAGGGGAGCAAACGGG